rnacentral:rRNA from 1 species
GGACAAUCUGCCCUAAAGAAGAGAAUAAUCCCGGGAAACUGGGGGUAAUGCUCUAUAGUCCGGGAUGACUGGAAUGUUAUCCGGAUGAAAGAUCCGUCGCUUUAGGAUGAGUCUGCGGCCGAUUAGGUAGUUGUUGGGGUAAAAGCCCAACAAGCCUGUAAUCGGUACGGGUUGUGGGAGCAAGAGCCCGGAGAUGGAUUCUGAGACACGAAUCCAGGCCCUACGGGGCGCAGCAGGCGCGAAAACUUUACAAUGCGGGCAACCGUGAUAAGGAAACCCCGAGUGCCAGCACAGGCUGGCUGUCCACCAGUGUAAAGAACUGGUGAAGAAAGGGCCGGGCAAGACCGGUGCCAGCCGCCGCGGUAAUACCGGCGGCUCGAGUGGUGGCCGCUUUUACUGGGCUUAAAGGGUCCGUAGCUGGAUUCACAAGUCCCUUGAGAAAUCUAUCGGCUUAACUGAUAGGCGUUCAGGGGAUACUGUGGUUCUAGGGACCGGGAGAGGUGAGAGGUACUGCCGGGGUAGGAGUGAAAUCCUGUAAUCCCGGUGGGACGACCUAUGGCGAAGGCAUCUCACCAGAACGGCUCCGACAGUGAGGGACGAAAGCUGGGGGAGCAAACCGGAUUAGAUACCCGGGUAGUCCCAGCCGUAAACGAUGCUCGCUAGGUGUCAGGCAUGGCGCGACCGUGUCUGGUGCCGCAGGGAAGCCGUGAAGCGAGUCACCUGGGAAGUACGGCCGCAAGGCUGAAACU